UACGAAGGGGGCUAGCGUUGCUCGGAAUCACUGGGCGUAAAGGGUGCGUAGGCGGGUCUUUAAGUCAGGGGGGAAAUCCUGGAGCUCAACUCCAGAACUGCCUUUGAUACUGAGGAUCUUGAGUUCGGGAGAGGUGAGUGGAACUGCGAGUGUAGAGGUGAAAUUCGUAGAUAUUCGCAAGAACACCAGUGGCGAAGGCGGCUCACUGGCCCGAUACUGACGCUGAGGCACGAAAGCGUGGGGAGCGAACAGG
rnacentral:rRNA from 1 species